rnacentral:rRNA from 1 species
GGGUUGUGAGGUUAAGCGACUAAGCGUACACGGUGGAUGCCCUGGCAGUCAGAGGCGAUGAAGGACGUGCUAAUCUGCGAUAAGCGUCGGUGAGGUGAUAUGAACCGUUAUAACCGGCGAUUUCCGAAUGGGGAAACCCAGUGUGUUUCGACACACUAUCAUUAACUGAAUCCAUAGGUUAAUGAGGCGAACCGGGGGAACUGAAACAUCUAAGUACACCGAGGAAAAGAAAUCAACCGAGAUUCCCCCAGUAGCGGCGAGCGAACGGGGAGGAGCCCAGAGCCUGAAUCAGUGUGUGUGUUAGUGGAAGCGUCUGGAAAGGCGUGCGAUACAGGGUGACAGCCCCGUACACAAAAAUGCACAUAUUGUGAGCUCGAUGAGUAGGGCGGGACACGUGGUAUCCUGUCUGAAUAUGGGGGGACCAUCCUCCAAGGCUAAAUACUCCUGACUGACCGAUAGUGAACCAGUACCGUGAGGGAAAGGCGAAAAGAACCCCGGCGAGGGGAGUGAAAAAGAACCUGAAACCGUGUACGUACAAGCAGUGGGAGCCUCUUAAUGGGGUGACUGCGUACCUUUUGUAUAAUGGGUCAGCGACUUAUAUUCUGUAGCAAGGUUAACCGAAUAGGGGAGCCGAAGGGAAACCGAGUCUUAACUGGGCGUUAAGUUGCAGGGUAUAGACCCGAAACCCGGUGAUCUAGCCAUGGGCAGGUUGAAGGUUGGGUAACACUAACUGGAGGACCGAACCGACUAAUGUUGAAAAAUUAGCGGAUGACUUGUGGCUGGGGGUGAAAGGCCAAUCAAACCGGGAGAUAGCUGGUUCUCCCCGAAAGCUAUUUAGGUAGCGCCUCGUGAAUUCAUCUCCGGGGGUAGAGCACUGUUUCGGCAAGGGGGUCAUCCCGACUUACCAACCCGAUGCAAACUGCGAAUACCGGAGAAUGUUAUCACGGGAGACACACGGCGGGUGCUAACGUCCGUCGUGAAGAGGGAAACAACCCAGACCGCCAGCUAAGGUCCCAAAGUCAUGGUUAAGUGGGAAACGAUGUGGGAAGGCCCAGACAGCCAGGAUGUUGGCUUAGAAGCAGCCAUCAUUUAAAGAAAGCGUAAUAGCUCACUGGUCGAGUCGGCCUGCGCGGAAGAUGUAACGGGGCUAAACCAUGCACCGAAGCUGCGGCAGCGACACUAUGUGUUGUUGGGUAGGGGAGCGUUCUGUAAGCCUGUGA